CAACAUAACACUGUCACUGUGUCAAAACAAAAUUACAGUAAAUUAGGUAAACUAUGUCACCUGGAUUUUUACAUGCAAAGUAACAACAUGUUCAUGAUUCUUGACAGUUUUUGAUGAUACAGUGAAGCAUUGGAGAGGUCCAUCUAGCCUGCCUGAUCAUAGUCACAUAUCAAAUUCUCUUUCCACAUACUCCAAGUACUCUGCUCCUGUCAGAAGACGGAGCUGAAAGGCAGAUAUCUGCCUUCUCAGUGUCCAGGGUACAUGCUCCAGAUACCCCAACUAACAGACUGAUGGCACAAGUUUGGUUGAUGCCAGCUUAUUAGAAAGAUGUUUCUGGGAGCUCAGGUCUCCAUCUUCUACUCAGGGUUACAGAGAAGAUAUUAAAGCUCAGGUGUUGAGUCUUCUCCAGUAUUUAUCCUGCUUUUCUGGACUGUUCCAAUCUUGCUUGAUCAUAAACCAUGACAUUAUAAAACAGGAGGAUGUACUGAAGCCACUGCUGACAAAUAUUUUUACCAUUCUUUCACCACAUCUCAAGGA